GCAAGUCGAGCGGAAACGAGAAUAGCUUGCUAUUCGGCGUCGAGCGGCGGACGGGUGAGUAAUGCUUGGGAACAUGCCUUGAGGUGGGGGACAACAGUUGGAAACGACUGCUAAUACCGCAUAAUGUCUACGGACCAAAGGGGGCUUCGGCUCUCGCCUUUAGAUUGGCCCAAGUGGGAUUAGCUAGUUGGUGAGGUAAUGGCUCACCAAGGCGACGAUCUUUAGCUGGUUUGAGAGGAUGAGC
rnacentral:rRNA from 1 species